rnacentral:lncRNA from 1 species
AUGGGUCAGGUGUGUCGUCAGCUCCAAGGAAGAGGCCGUCAGCCUGAGACCAAGAGGGUCCGGGGGCGAGUUCCCCCCGAUAGGAGCGAAGGUAAGAGCGCAAGAACCAUCACGGGCAUCACCUCCCCGUCCUCCCAGGCCCCGCAGGUUGUGGGGAGGCCGGUGGGGGCCGGUGAGGGGCGCACGUGCAGUCACAGAGCGAGAGCGGGUGGGGAACCGGCAGGAAGGCUUAGGGGGCGGGCCUUCCCUGGUGGUCCAGUGGCUAAGACUCGGCUGCCAAAGCAGGGGACCCAGGUUCGACCCCUGGUCAGGGAGCUAGAUCCCACACGGCGCAACUAAGACCCGGCACAGCCAAAUAAAUACAUAUAAAUCAAUAUUUUAAAAGAAGAA